CAGCCCGUGAGGUCUGGUCUGGAGGAAGCCGCUAGCAAAGCUGCGAGCUGAUGAACAAGAACAUCCUAUGAGGCGUAGGCUGGAGGCGAGUUGGCAUAAGACAACGAAGCCACGUGAUCUGACGGCCACCGUAAAGGAUGCAGUUGCGCAGUGACAGUUCAUGUC
rfam:Endozoicomonas numazuensis strain DSM 25634 scaffold00001, whole genome shotgun sequence.